rnacentral:rRNA from 1 species
GCUCAGAGUAUAAGCCAAUGGAGCUUGGAAGGCUUCCGCAGAUGGUGUCCAUCAUACGUGGUGUUCUUAAGACCUUGAGUGUGGCUCGUCAGGCGAAGCAUUGAGUUUGCCGGGUUAGUCGUCGUGCGGGGGGUUCGGCCUGGGGGACUUUGGCUUCGGCUGAAGGGUGCUUCAGGCCUCCCCUUUUGAAUGGACGUUCAGAGCUCUUGUGUCUAAUGCGGUUAUGCCCACCACAGCACGUUGUGAGGUCACCCACAGGCUCAAACUGCCGAUCGCGCAUCCAGGACGAUGGCAACGAUGCGUUGUUGAUGAUGACUCGAGAGAGACUUCACUCACACGCGUGUCUAGUCCUGGGUCGGGCGGCGACCGAGAUAAACCUGGUAUGAUCCUCUUGCGACGAGCUGCUUUCUGGCCAGACCGACGCCCAGGCGCCUCCACUGUGCCGGAAGCGUCAACCCCAGGCGGUGUGAACCCAGCUGCAUUUUGCAAGGUCUCUCAGCCGGGCGUUGGUCUGAGUGGUGUUAAGUCCAGCACCAUCGGUCACGUCUCGAAACACGGGCCAAGGAGUAUAGCAUGUGUGCAAGUCUAAGGGUCUCACAAAACCCGAAGGCGAAGUGAAAGCAAGACUGUGGCGGGGGAGCUACGGCAAACCCGCCGGCCUAGUGGCGCGUGCGUCGCCUGGCUUUUAACAGAGCUGAUCCUGUUUUCUCGGUUAAUUCUUGGUGCAGGCGCAAGCUCCGGGCUCACGUACAACACUGGUCACGCCUCGCG